CGCCAGUAUGCUUGAUGGGAGGGCGCGA
rnacentral:sRNA from 1 species